GUUUUGUACCUUAUAGUGCCAAACAGCUGGGAUAGCUCAUGAGACUUUUAAUCUUAGGUUGUGGGUUCAAGCCCCACCUUGAGCG